UGGGGAGUCGUCUAAUGGUAGGACACAAGACUCUGACUCUUGGCGUGAGGGUUCAACUCCUUCCUCCCCAGCCA
rnacentral:tRNA from 4 species